rnacentral:rRNA from 1 species
UACGUAGGGUGCAAGCGUUGUCCGGAAUUAUUGGGCGUAAAGAGCUCGUAGGCGGUUUGUCGCGUCUGCUGUGAAAACUCGGGGCUUAACUCCGGGCCUGCAGUGGGUACGGGCAGACUAGAGUGCGGUAGGGGAGACUGGAAUUCCUGGUGUAGCGGUGAAAUGCGCAGAUAUCGGGAGGAACACCGGUGGCGAAGGCGGGUCUCUGGGCCGUAACUGGACGCUGAGGAGCGAAAGCGUGGGGAGCGAACAGG